GCGCCAGUGGUGUAUGGUACACCCAAUCAACUCAAUGUUCUAUCGGAAGAAUGAGUAAGAUUGAGCCUGGGGUUCGACUCCCCGCUGGUGCA